GAUGAACGCUGGCGGCGUGCCUAACACAUGCAAGUCGAGCGGCAGCGAGGGGUGCUUGCACCCUGUCGGCGAGCGGCGGACGGCUGAGUAACGCGUGGGAACGUGCCCCAAAGUGAGGAAUAACUGCCCGAAAGGGUAGCUAAUACCGCAUAUUAUCUUCGGAUCAAAGGAUUUAUCCGCUUUGGGAGCGGCUCGCGUCGGAUUAGGUAGUUGGUGAGGUAAUGGCUCACCAAGCCGACGAUCCGUAGCUGGUCUGAGAGGAUGACCAGCCAGACUGGAACUGAGACACGGGCCAGACUCCUACGGGAGGCAGCAGGGGGGAAUCUUCCACAAUGGGCGAAAGCCUGAUGGAGCAACGCCGGGGGAAGGACGAAGGCCUUCGGGUUGUAAACUGCUUUUAAAAGUGAGGAAUAUGACGGUAACUUAUGAAUAAGGAUCGGCUAACUACGU
rnacentral:rRNA from 1 species